AGAGAGAGAGAGAGAGAGAGAGAGAGAGAGAGAGAGAGAGAGAGAGAGAGAGAGAGAGAGAGAGAGAGAGAGAGAGAGAGAGAGAAAAGGGUUGAAGGUGACUUGGUCCUACCACUUAUUUCACAUGUUUUGGAAAAUAACUUUGUGCUCAUAGCAUCUCUGAUAGCACCCAAAUGCCUCUUCAUUCCAGCAAUUUGAUUUGCUUGCGUGUAAAAGCCAUGGAAAAGGAAUUACUGAUGAUUUCCUUGAAAUCAUUACUAGGCAAUCGUUCGCAUUCUUUUGUGUCGCUCGUUUUCUAGCCCAGUUUUCUUGCCUCUUAUGUAAUGUUUCGCAACAAAAAUCAUUGUAUCUUACCGAGGAAAUAUUAUGCUGCCAUUCCUGCCUCUGUGGGUGCGACCAAAGGCAGAGCAACCGGCAUGGAGACAACAUGUUGAGGUGUGUGGGUGUGGUGCGUUCAUCCAGUCGGUCAAUGUUUUGGGUGGAAUAGAGAAGUUUCGCGUGACGUCACGCCAAUCCAUGACGUCACGGCCGCGGUGCAUUCUGGGUUGGCGGGAUCUGGCGGCGGAUGCUCAAACGGUCGUAUCUCAACAUUUGGUCCUAAAUCCGCCAUUGUGGUUGCAAGUGCUGCCCCGUGCGAUGUUCAAAAAACGUCCUAGACGCCAUCUUGUGACGUCAGGUCGCCCCUCAGCCUGACUGCUCAGGAGCGGGGCUAGAUCCGACCAGUUUCCGUCCUAACCCGUCGCCAUUAAAGGAGUGUUUCCGCCUCAUCCACAUCUCCACCUCUAUACACAAUAUAAGAUGGAGCUUGUUGCGGCAUACAUUUUCAAUCGCAGACUGUGCAGGGAAAGGAGAUAUCGGGACCCACUCGACCCACUACAUGUCAGUGAUGAACACCUGUUGCAGGUGUAUAGAUUUCCCCGUCAGGAAAUCAUCAGGCUCUGUGAUGAGUUGCACCCCCACCUGGAAAGGAGAACCAGGAGGGCACAUGCACUCUCAACACACACCCAGGUUCUGGCUACACUAAGGUUUUUUGCGAGUGGCAGCUUUCAAGGUGUUAUUGGAAACGGUGUUGGAAAUGACCAAUCAAGGGCCAUUGAUAAAGUAACUCGGGUACUCUGUGAAAAGGCCAGUCAUGAGAUAAAGAUGUCAACCACAGCAAUAGAUAUUAAUAGAAUUUUUAAGAUAGUUUUCAUGCAUUUCAUAAUGAUAAAUAAUGCAUUAAUGAAUUUUCAACUUCACAGGAGACACUGCGUAUCCUCUGGAGCCAUUCCUGGUGACCCCAGUUGCACGCCCGACAACACCUGGGGAGGAGCGCUACAACAAGUCAUCGCAGGACAAGAUGCGUUGUCGAACGGACCUUUGGGAUCCUCAAGUCAAGGUGCAGGUGCCUACAUAAGUCAGGAGGAAGUUUGCAGUAUGACCCCAAGAAGACUAUGAAGAUUGCGACUUCUUGUAUGCUCCUGCACAACUACUGAGUGGAUCGCUGCAGAAGAAGUAACAGUUCAGCCUGUGAGAAACAACAGACUGAUUCCUGGUCAAGUUGUCAGGCAGGAAUUUAUUAGAAACUUCUUUUCCUGAGUAUAGAUUGCAUAUGGUGCACCGGUGGCCGAGUGGUCAGCGUGUGUACGUGGUGAUCCAGAGGACUCGACUCCCACCGCAAGACGCUGAGAGUUUUCAACCAUUGACAAGUGGCGGAGGGUUACCAACAUGCUGCCCAGCAGAUCUUCAGUCAACCCUAACUUCAGCGUCUUUGAUCAAGAGGGGCACCACCUCCACACCACUCAUUCUUAUCACCUAGUUUGAUACCCUACUUGUCCAUCUCACAUGCCCCAUGUAACUCAGCAUUCUGCACUCUUGGCUCCAUGUCAUCCUCUCCAACUUGUUGGUUCGUAUAGCAUAACCGGCCUCACAUACAUAGAAGUGUUCAAUAUACCUAGGCUAUAAUAUUAUAUUUAAGGACUCUUAUACGAGGUAUCGCCCCAUACAGAGGUGUCGAAGUAAGUCUGUCUGAUGGUAGGCUGGCUGACUGCUGUCGGGACCCAAGCCAGCAUGCCCUGGGGGUUGUGUGCGGGAGGAGGAAAGAGGGAAAAGGACAAAUGGUGUGUGUGUCAUUAUCAGGGGUAACCACGGUGGAGUGCAAACACUCAGUAGUUGUAGUCAAGGCUUAAUUAAGUUGAUGAGUGGUGUUAGACUGAAUGAGCAGGUUUUUUACCACAUGUUAGUGGGAACACUUGAUAGGUUUUGUUUGUGUGUUGGUGCUACUUGUUUCUUGUGUUUACAUGUUAGUUUAUAAUUAGACUGAGUUCUAAGUGUUAUGAGCGACAAUUUAGUCUUGUAUGGCUGAAUCCUGUCCCUUGACCCUUAAUUCAUCAUCAGAAUCUUUAAACAAAUAUAUUUACCUUAAGUAAUAUUCUUAAAGUCACGCUACCCAUAUUAUUUGGCAGAUGAUAACCCUGUGUGCGAUAACGGUGCCUUAUAAGACUUGGUAAAUAAACUACUAAUUUUACUCUCUGGUUUAAGUGAUCAACAAUUAAUUCUACUUUGAGGUAUAAUUAACCAACAUUAUUAAGGAGUGCCCAUGCCAGGCACGACAUUAAGAAUAUUUUUCUGUUGACCAACAGACUUACUAUAGUCAAACCAUUUCAAAAUGUCUGUUGAGGCAGUGGCUUCUGCAGGUCCUUUCCUCCCUUCUGCUUUGCCACAUAGUUCCAAUUACCUAUUUCCUCUGUUUCCUGUCCCCUCUUUCACAAACUGGGCACCUGUAAUGCACCACUACUUGAUUUACAUUUCUCAGCCCUGAGCAUCUCUUUGUGGCACCACUUAACACUCCCUGUGCACAGGGCAGAGUUAGUAGCCAUUUCUCUUCCACACCAACUACCUUCCUGUAUAUAUGAUUUCUCAGUAAUUACUUAUUUGUUGUGCUGUAUUAGCUGUUACGUGCUACAUCAAGCUGUAAUAUCUACCCAAGCUGCGGGUUAAUCCAAUAAAAAAAAAAAGUGAAUGACUAA